CCCGCUGAACUUAAGCAUAUCAAUAAGCCGAAGGAAA
rnacentral:rRNA from 1 species